GACAGAACAAUAUAUUCAAUUCAUGAAAAAUUCUUACAACCAUGGAAAUGGAAACUCCUUGUUCAACUCUAUCAUGGGAAGUUCUCAUCCUCGUAGCACAUCACCUUGACCCUAAAACAUUAGCCAUAGCUUCAUGCGUAUCAAAAUCAUGGUUACAUUCUAUGUCCUCUGAUCUUCUUUGGAAACCAAUCGUAACAACCCAUUUUCCCUCUCUCUCCACUCUUCCCACCACCGUCUCAUAUUGCCGUCUCUUUGCAUUAGGCCAGUCUUCCACCACGCGCCGCCGUCAGACCCCUCCAAAGCCAACCCUCUCCCUUGACGACCUCAUCUUCACGGUUUCCAUUACUUCCAAGCGGGACUCUCGUGUUGUCUCAACUGUAUCCAGACCAGUAGAAGCACUGGUGGUGGACCCUCCCGGCGUGUUCCGUUUUGUCGUUAGCUUUGAAAGCGGGGUUGUGGUGAAGAACAACGGUUUUGAGGAGGUGGUGAAGGUGACGUGGAAUGUAGUGGUGAAAGGGUGGAGAGGAGUUUUCACUUUGAUGGAUUAUGAGGGGAAGGUGGGGUUUGUUGCCGGAAGAGAGGAGUGGUUUUCGCAGGAGCUACCGGCGCCAGGUUGUUGUUCGAAGAUGGUGGCGAGUUCGGUCGUGGCGGAUAUGAAGGUGGGGAUGUGCGGUUGUAGAGAAAGUGAUGAUGGUGGUGGGGAAGUGAGGGUUGGGAAGGUGAGUGUUGGGAUUAUGAGUGUUGUUGAUUGGAGAGCAAUGGCAAUGGUAAGACCAUUUCAAUUUAUCGGUGAUAUUAACCAGAAGAAAGAUUUCUGGAAGCUAGCUGUUAGGGUUAAAGACAAAUGGGCCAUUGUUAAGGAUCAGAAGGAGCACUUGGAGGUGGUUAUCGUUGAUGCUAAGAUGUGAUCGGUGUGGUUCAAGACAUGGGAUAUUGCUAGGUCCAUGAAGGUACAGGGAAAAAACUUCAAGUCAACUUUACUUUGAGAGACUUGAGUGAUGUCACUCUUAAUUGCACUUUAUGGGAGUCUUAUGCUCGGACCUUUAUUCACUACAACAAUGAAAGAAAAGAACAUGGUCCGGUAAUAGUUCUGCUUAAGUAUGGCAAAGUAAAAUAAGAAGAGGUUACCUACUGAUUUUGGGAAUUAUCUCAACUACAAUGUAUUUGAUAGCUUAAUUUGUUGUGGAGACUAUGGAGAUAAUAAGAACUUUGAUAUCAUACGACUACACGAUAUAGAUCAAACCACACAGUUAGGACAUCAAUGGAAUGAUUUUUGUCUUCUCAAUGGAUUUUUGGCUCAAUCAAUAGACUAUGUAAUUUGAUAUGCUA